UGGGGAUAGUGGCGACGGGUGAGUAACACGUGGGCAAUCUGCCCUUCACUCUGGGACAAGCCCUGGAAACGGGGUCUAAUACCGGAUACUGACCUGCCAAGGCAUCUUGGCGGGUCGAAAGCUCCGGCGGUGAAGGAUGAGCCCGCGGCCUAUCAGCUUGUUGGUGAGGUAAUGGCUCACCAAGGCGACGACGGGUAGCCGGCCUGAGAGGGCGACCGGCCACACUGGGACUGAGACACGGCCCAGACUCCUACGGGAGGCAGCAGUGGGGAAUAUUGCACAAUGGGCGAAAGCCUGAUGCAGCGACGCCGCGUGAGGGAUGACGGCCUUCGGGUUGUAAACCUCUUUCAGCAGGGAAGAAGCGAAAGUGACGGUACCUGCAGAAGAAGCGCCGGCUAACUACGUGCCAGCAGCCGCGGUAAUACGUAGGGCGCAAGCGUUGUCCGGAAUUAUUGGGCGUAAAGAGCUCGUAGGCGGCUUGUCACGUCGGUUGUGAAAGCCCGGGGCUUAACCCCGGGUCUGCAGUCGAUACGGGCAGGCUAGAGUUCGGUAGGGGAGAUCGGAAUUCCUGGUGUAGCGGUGAAAUGCGCAGAUAUCAGGAGGAACACCGGUGGCGAAGGCGGAUCUCUGGGCCGAUACUGACGCUGAGGAGCGAAAGCGUGGGGAGCGAACAGGAUUAGAUACCCUGGUAGUCCACGCCGUAAACGGUGGGCACUAGGUGUGGGCAACAUUCCACGUUGUCCGUGCCGCAGCUAACGCAUUAAGUGCCCCGCCCUGGGGGAGUACGGCGGCA
rnacentral:rRNA from 1 species